rnacentral:rRNA from 1 species
GACGAACGCUGGCGGCGUGCCUAAUACAUGCAAGUCGAGCGGACGGAUGGGAGCUUGCUCCCAGACCGUCAGCGGCGGACGGGUGAGUAACACGUGGGCAACCUGCCUGUAAGACUGGGAUAACUCCGGGAAACCGGGGCUAAUACCGGAUAACUCUUUCCCUCACAUGAGGGAAAGCUGAAAGAUGGCAUCUCGCUAUCACUUACAGAUGGGCCCGCGGCGCAUUAACUAGUUGGUGAGGUACCGGCUCACCAAGGCGACGAUGCGUAGCCGACCUGAGAGGGUGAUCGGCCACACUGGGACUGAGACACGGCCCAGACUCCUACGGGAGGCAGCAGUAGGGAAUCUUCCGCAAUGGACGAAAGUCUGACGGAGCAACGCCGCGUGAGUGAUGAAGGUUUUCGGAUCGUAAAACUCUGUUGUCAGGGAAGAACAAGUACCGGAGUAACUGCCGGUACCUUGACGGUACCUGACCAGAAAGCCACGGCUAACUACGUG